CCCCCUACACAAAGCUCCUUGCUGUUCCACACAACAACAAAGAUGAAAGAUAACAAGCAAUUUCAACUAGCGGUGUGGUCCAACAGAAUUGCUGAUAUGGAUACCUAAACAAUUGAGACAUUUUUUUUGUAUGACAUAAUUACUUACUACUCAUUACCAAGUGAAAAUACCUACAAACAAAAUAUGAGCAUCUCCUUUAGUCAACUUUAUUGCAACAUGUAAAAAGAAGUUACGUUUCUUACAAAAUAAUAAGGAUUUUUAUUGUUAGAUUAAAUGUUUUAUUAAUUGGAAUAAACAAUGAUAUAGGCCUACUCAAUAAAUAAUUAUUCUAGUGGUGACUCAAAUCUGUAGCCUACAGUAUGAUGAGUACCCUACAGUAUGAUGAGUAGCCUACAGUAUGGUAAGUAGCCUACAGUAUGAGUAGCCUACAGUAUGAUGAGUAGCCUACAGUAUGGUAAGUAGCCUACAGUAUGAUGAGUAGCCUACAGUAUGGUAAGUAGCCUACAGUAUGAUGAGUAGCCUACAGUAUGGUAAGUAGCCUACAGUAUGAUGAGUAGCCUACAGUAUGGUAAGUAGCCUACAGUAUGAGUAGUCUACAGUAUGAUGAGUAGCCUACAGUGUGAUGAGUAGCCUACAGUAUGAUGAGUAGCCUACAGUAUGAGUAGCCUACAGUAUGAUGAGUAGCCUACAGUAUGGUAAGUAGCCUACAGUAUGAUGAGUAGCCUACAGUAUGGUAAGUAGCCUACAGUAUGAUGAGUAGCCUACAGUAUGGUAAGUAGCCUACAGUAUGAGUAGCCUACAGUAUGAUGAGUAGCCUACAGUAUGAUGAGUAGCCUACAGUAUGGUAAGUAGCCUACAGUAUGAGUAGCCUACAGUAUGAUGAGUAGCCUACAGUAUGGUUGGUAGCCUACAGUAUGAUGAGUAGCCUACAGUAUGGUAAGUAGCCUACAGUAUGAUGAGUAGCCUACAGUAUGAUGAGUAGCCUACAGUAUGAUGAGUAGCCUACAGUGUGAUGAGUAGCCUACAGUAUGAUGAGUACCCUACAGUAUGAUGAGUAGCCUACAGUAUGAUGAGUAGCCUACAGUAUGAUGAGUAGCCUACAGUAUGGUGAGUAGCCUACAGUAUGAGUAGCCUACAGUAUGAGUAGCCUACAGUAUGAGUAGGCUACAGUAUGGUGAGUAGCCUACAGUGUGAUGAGUAGCCUACAGUAUGGUGAGUAGCCUACAGUAUGAUGAGUAGCCUACAGUAUGAUGAGUAGCCUACAGGUUGAUGAGUAGCCUACAGGUUGAUGAGUAGCCUACAGUAUGAUGAGUAGCCUACAGUGUGAUGAGUACCCUACAGUAUGAUGAGUACCCUACAGUAUGAUGAGUAGUCUACAGUGUGAUGAGUAGUCUACAGUAUGAUGAGUAGCCUACAGUAUGAUGAGUAGCCUACCGUAUGAUGAGUAGCCUACAGUAUGAUGAGUAGCCUACAGUAUGAUGAGUAGCCUACAGUGUGAUGAGUACCCUACAGUAUGAUGAGUACCCUACAGUAUGAUGAGUAGCCUA
ensembl:lncRNA